UAAAACGUUUCGUAUGAAUAAAAAAAAAUAUCGUUCUUCGAUAGCUUAGACUCUUGAAAAAUAAUUAUUGUUUAAUGUAAAGAAACAUUAAUAUCUAUCUCUAUUCAAACACGAAAAAAAGAGAAAUUGUAUAUGUACCUUAUAAUACGAGCUCGAACUUGGUGAAAAUGAGCAGACUGGUGAGGAAGAUGUGGUGGAAAAUGAAGCAGUCAAGAGUAAUAGAGUGGCGGUGCCUCUAGAGGAAGCAGUGGAGGUAGACGGACGCGAUGAUGUAAAAGUAGGCACUGCAAUCGGAAAGGCGAGGGACGAA
rnacentral:lncRNA from 1 species